AUUCCAGCUCCAGUAGCGUAUAUUAAAGUUGUUGCAGUUAAAAAGCUCGUAGUUGGAUUUCUGACUUCAAACACCUGACCCUCCCUCGCUAGAGGUGUGUGUGCCGGAGUGUUUGUAUCAUCCUUUCAGUGAUCGGUUCUACCCUUAACCGGGUCGGAACUGUUAACUGGAUCUCUUACUUUGAAGAAAUUGGAGUGUUUAAAGCAGGCUUACGCCAGAACAUAUUAGCAUGGAAUAAUAAUUUAGGACUUUUGUUCUAUUUUGUUGGUUUCUAGGACGAAAGUAAUGAUUGAUAGGGAUAGUAGGGGGUGCUAGUAUUCGGCGGCCAGAGGUGAAAUUCUUUGAUCCGCUGAAGACUAACUUAUGCGAAAGCAUUCACCAAGGAUGUCUUCAUUG
rnacentral:rRNA from 1 species